rnacentral:tRNA from 1 species
GGCUGUAGCUCAGUGGUAAAGCGCUUGCCUUGCAUGUGUGAGGCACUGGGUUCAAUCCUCAGCACCA